UGGUGGAGCAUGUGGUUUAAUUCGAUGCAACGCGAAGAACCUUACCUACUCUUGACAUCCAGAGAAUUCGCUAGAGAUAGCUUAGUGCCUUCGGGAACUCUGAGACAGGUGCUGCAUGGCUGUCGUCAGCUCGUGUUGUGAAAUGUUGGGUUAAGUCCCGCAACGAGCGCAACCCUUAUCCUUGUUUGCCAGCACGUAAUGGUGGGAACUCCAGGGAGACUGCCGGUGAUAAACCGGAGGAAGGUGGGGACGACGUCAAGUCAUCAUGGCCCUUACGAGUAGGGCUACACACGUGCUACAAUGGCGUAUACAGAGGGCUGCAAGCUAGCGAUAGUGAGCGAAUCCCACAAAGUACGUCGUAGUCCGGAUNGGAGUCUGCAACUCGACUCCANGAAG
rnacentral:rRNA from 1 species